rnacentral:misc_RNA from 1 species
UUCAAAAUUGAUUUUAAAUAUGUUCUAUUGAAUUUUAAAUUAUAAAUAGAAUAUUUAAAUAGAUUCAAAAAUGGAUAGAUGCUUUUUAAAUUCUGGUAAUGUAUCCAUUUCUUCAGUGGGUUAUCCAGUUAUUCAUCCGACCAAAGAGAAUUUUUCAUAUGAAACAUGGAAUUGUUAUAAAAUGAAUGUUCUGUGCCAAGAUAAUGACGAAGAGACACGGAAGAAAACUCUGCAAUCAUUAUGUGAUCUAUUAUAUGAUCCUCGAAAUGCUUAUCAAUAUCUUAGAAGAGGGCUUCGGGAGAAUUUAGAAAGUACGUGGACAGAUUCGGAUGAAUUUAUAUGUACAAAAGGGGCAGAAAUUCUUAGCAUAAUUACAGUUACACCAGCGGGAAGGAAAGCAUUUUUAGCUUUUGAUUUAAUUGAAGGAGCCAUACUAUUAUUAGAUAAUGUGUUGCAAAACGUUAGAAAACACGCAUAUACAACACUUAGAAAUUUAUCAUGUAAUCCAGAAGGUUCAGCAGCUAUCGUUUAUCAUGAUUUAAUCACCAUUCUGAUAAAGAAACUGAAAGAAGAAAAUGAUGAAAACAAAGAAAUUAUUCUCGAAAUUAUUCACGAAUGUUUGAAAAUCAACGCUCUUAAAACCGAAAAAGUACUGAAUGCCGGAGCUAUAGCCAUUAUAAUGGAACUAUUUGAAAGUGAUUCUAUUGUAAUAAAGCGAAAGGCAGCUAUCGUCAUGGCGGAUUUAUGCACGAUCGAACUCGGUAAAACUAUCGCGUGUGAACAGGCAUUAGAUGCUGUUAUAAAUCAUCUAAAAGAAACCACGGAUUCUGAAUUCAGAACGGAACUAUGUUACUUAUUAGUGAUGAUAACGGUAAUAAUUAAAGGAAAGUUUAAAGCUGUAGAAGGUAACGCUCUUCCACUUCUCUUAUCUAUACUAGAAGAUUCUAGUGUAGAAACACGCAAAAAUUGUCUAAAGGCAAUUACUAUGUUAGCAGAAGUUCCAACAGGAAGAGAAUUCUUCUUGAAAAAUAUCAAAGAGAUACGCCAUUUGCUGUCUGAUCCGGAUAAAGAAAUCAGAGAAAUCGCUGAAGUUGCGUACGAAGUCAUAAUUUGGAAGCCGAAUUGAAAUGAUAUUACCAAAAUGGCGGAGUACACCUUACGUCAAUUUGUCGUCAUUUACGAUUAUGGUUAAAUAUAAUGACGUCAAAUUGACUACGUAAAUCACAUAAUUUACAUAAUUACCGUGCAUGUGGAGGGAGUGAUUUAGUGUUAUAAGAGCGUAGAGUUUAGUCG